rnacentral:snRNA from 1 species
AUUUGUUAAAGUUGUGUUUAUUCU